AACCUGCCCAAGAGAUCGGGAUAACACCUGGAAACAGAUGCUAAUACCGGAUAACAACAGAUGAUGCCUAUCAACUGUUUAAAAGAUGGUUNUGCUAUCACUCUUGGAUGGACCUGCGGUGCAUUAGCUAGUUGGUAGGGUAACGGCCUACCAAGGCGAUGAUGCAUAGCCGAGUUGAGAGACUGAUCGGCCACAUUGGGACUGAGACACGGCCCAAACUCCUACGGGAGGCAGCAGUG
rnacentral:rRNA from 1 species